CAGUGUUAUAACUCUGUCUUUAAAAUCUCUGUUAUGACUCUUCAGACACUGGGUUUUAACCAAACAACUCAGUCCAAUGCAAAGAUGAACAAUUUUCUCUUGGAAUUACAAUGCUGUGUUGGAAAAAACUUGGGAUAAAAUGCAAAAGACUAGGAUUUCAAUUCCGAUCACCACUUAUUUCACUUAGUGAUUUUGAGGCAAAUCCCACAGACUCUGCCUCAGUUUGUUCAGCUAUAAAAUUAAUAUACAAGGGUAAAUCCUAUAUUUAAUGUUUUAUGCAUAUGGUUGUAUUUAUGAUUUUUACCCUGACCCUGGUAUUAAUGAGCUAUAGAAGGGUUUCAUUGGUAUCAAAUGAAACUGACUCUUGACUUAACCACAUAUUGGUUGUUCAAUGUUAGGGAAGUUAAGUGGCUUCUGCAAGAUUCUGUCUAGGUCUUCAUUUGUACAAUGGGGUUACAUAUAAUUCAUUUACCACUAGAUUGCUGUGAAGGUCAAAAGUGAAAAAGCAUAAUGCUGUGCCUGGGCUAUAGCAAGUCUAUAAUAAAAGGGAGUUAUCCUCAAGUCUCCUCUAUCCCUAUAAUAAGACCCACUCUGCUUUUCUCCUUUUCUAAGAAAAAAUACACAUUGUAAAAUAAGCAUUCUUCAAAGACAACUUGAAGACAUCUGGGAAUUCCAAAGGGUAAAAAUUCCAUGAGUUCAUAGAAGCUUCCACUAAUUCCACUGAUCUAAAGACAAAAAGGAGAGAGUCAACUGUGUGCCCAAACUCAUUUCUGAUGAUUUCUUCCAUCCUACCCUUUCUGUCUCUGGGGGUGGUUGUACCUGUGAAAAACAUCAAAGUUGUCAGGAACAGAGUCAGCUUUCAAGAUUGGAAUGUCAGAAUAGAGUCUUCUUUUCCUCAGACUAGAAGAGGCUUGGUUGGGUAAGAGUUUCUAGGUCUGAAAGAAGACAGAGCUGGGAUAUAGGAACGGAUACAGAUAAACAACACAGACACUUUGAGAGAGUGAUACAUCAGGAGAGACUAAAAUAGGGCAGGAACAAGAUCAUGAAGCAAGAUGAGAUAAGAAACCAAAGGACCUCGUCUAUAAGCUCUAAUGUGUGUUGCAACUAGAGGCUGACUACAUCCUACAAAGUUCCAAAUUACGUAAUUGUAAUGCAUAAUGGGCACUUUCUCAUAAAAAGGAAAGAUUUGUUUUCCCUUUUAUGCCUGAAGUGAAAAGUGUGAGAAGUAGCCCCAUUAGAAAGUACAAAGUGUCAUCAUGUGAGCUGGUAUAUUUCAGAUGUGUUAGACUGAAGAUUAUAAAACUGGAUUGAUUUUACAUAGAGAAAACCUUGUUUCUAAAGGUGUUGAGAGACAAGUUGGACACAGAUCCUUUCCACAUUGCCACUCAGGGAAGGAAAAUCCAGGUAGAACAUGGGAGCUUGCUGAAAUGAGGAGACAAAGGUCAAAGAUUGAGGAAGCUGAAGUAACUGGAAUUUGCAGGGCAGAGUACUAGAAAGGAAGGGGACUGUAGAAAAAAUUUCAAAAAAUAUGCAUAAGGGUGCCUUUGAGUUUUGGGCUAAUUAUUAAGCUGUAUAAGGCAAAACUCCACAGGGCAAAUAAUAAUUACUGAGGAAAGAACAAUAACUGAAAAACUAUAAACUGAAUGAUAUCUCCCAUUAGGCUGACAUAGAUUCAAGUUCCAGCCAGCCAGAGUGGAGAAACAUUAUUGAACCCAUGCAGCAUUCAGUAGAGACCAGAGAAUGUCCAUGCCUCAGUAGUGAUGCAAAAUUAUUCCUGGAAUAAAGACUACUCUGUACCUUUCCUAACAAAUCUUAAGAACAAGGCUCAAAAAGAUUAAACUAGGGGCCAGCCUAGUGGUAUAGUGAUUAAGUUCGUGCACUCUACUUUGGCAGCCCAGAGUUCACAGGUUUGGAUCCUGGGUGCAGAUCUACAGACUGCUCAUCAAGCCAUGCUGUGGUGGCAACCAACAUACAAAAACUAGAGGAAUAUUGGCACAGAUGUUAGCUCAGGGCCAAUCUUCCUCACACACACACACACACAAAAAGAUAAACUAAUCUACACAAAAUUUAAAUGCUUGCCAGAUCAAAAAACAACCCUCUUUAAAGGAACAUAGUAAAAUCCAGACAUUCAACAAAGUAAUGUCAACAAUGCCCAGCAUCCAAUCAAAAAUUACUAGACACCCAAAGAAAUAGGAAAAACCUUUUCUCCAUAAUCAGGAGAAAAAUUAGGGAACAGAAAUCAAUAAGUGACCAAUAAGUGACAGAG
ensembl:lncRNA